rnacentral:rRNA from 1 species
UACGUAGGGCGCAAGCGUUGUCCGGAAUUAUUGGGCGUAAAGAGCUCGUAGGCGGCCUGUUGCGUCCGCUGUGAAAUCCCGGGGCUUAACCCCGGGCGUGCAGUGGAUACGGGCGGGCUGGAGGCAGGCAGGGGAGAAUGGAAUUCCCGGUGUAGCGGUGAAAUGCGCAGAGAUCGGGAGGAACACCAGUGGCGAAGGCGGCACCCUGGACCAGCACUGACACUGAGGCACGAAAGCGUGGGGAGCGAACAGG